rnacentral:rRNA from 1 species
CGACUGCGGAGGACAUUACGAGUCUUUGAGGAGGGUUGUUAAAGCUGGCUCUGACCUGAAAUAAAAAUAAAAAUAAAAACAAAGGAAGGAGCAUGUGCACGCCCGAUUCGUUUACUCUCAAACCUCUUGUGCACCUGUUGUAGGCCUGACUUCAGAGAUGAAGCUUUUGAGGUCUAUGUUUUUAUCACAAACGAUUUAGUAACAAAGAAUGUCAGUUGGUUACAAAAAAAUAAACACAACUUUCAGCAACGGAUCUCUUGGUUCUCGCAUCGAUGAAGGACGCAGCGAAAUGCGAUAAGUAAUGUGAAUUGCAGAAUUCAGUGAAUCAUCGAAUCUUUGAACGCACCUUGCGCUCUCUAGUAUUCUGGAGAGCAUGCCUGUUUGAGUGUCAUGGUUAAUUCUCAACCUUUCAGAGUCUUUGUUGCUCGUGAAGAGGUUGGAUUUGGAGGUUUUACGUGUUGGCCUUGUGUGUGCUUUUACGAGCGUGCAGGUCGACUCCUCUGAAAUAUAUUAGUGUGGACAGUCCUUUGUUGCUGAUCGUUACUGCGGUGGUAAUAAUAAUAACAAUGUUCACUGCAGUGUCGACAUAUGUGCAAUGACAGAUGAUGUUCGUGCUUUACAAAUAGUAACAUGUCGGUUGUCUCUUGUAAGAGGACCGGAACGGUGUUGUUGACAAUCUGACCUCAAAUCAGGUAGGACUACCCGCUGAACUUAAGCUUAAAA